AGAGGCAGAGAGGUAGCAGAGAUGAUGGAAUUGCAGCCCUGCCUCAAGAGACAAAUAGGAAGCACACACUGUAUUUCUCUUCUUCUCCCAGGAUGACAAGAGGCUCUUUGCUGCAGAAGGGACAGCAUCACAAAAGCCAGAAGAGGGACAGUAUUCAGCUGAGCAGGGGAGCAGAAGGAGCAACAAGAUGUCACUAAAUGUGAUAAAAAUCCCUCAAACUAUGGAUCUAAUGUAUCAAACCCACAGCUUGCCUGCAAAGGAGUCAGUGGAAAUUGUACGUGCUCAGCACAUCUGGAGGAAGACAGACAGGC